rnacentral:tRNA from 1 species
GGAAAAGUAAGCUAACUUAAGCUUUUGGGUUCAUACCUCAAAUAUAGAUUUUAUUCUCUUUUCCA